UACGGAGGGGGCUAGCGUUGUUCGGAAUUACUGGGCGUAAAGCGCGCGUAGGCGGACCUGCAAGUCGGGGGUGAAAGCCCGAGGCUCAACCUCGGAACUGCCUUGAUACUGCGGGUCUCGAGUCCGGGAGAGGUGAGUGGAAUUCCUAGUGUAGAGGUGAAAUUCGUAGAUAUUCGGAGGAACACCAGUGGCGAAGGCGGCUCACUGGUCCAUUACUGACGCUGAGGUGCGAAAGCGUGGGGAGCAAACAGG
rnacentral:rRNA from 1 species